AUACGGAGGAUCCGAGCGUUAUCCGGAUUUAUUGGGUUUAAAGGGAGCGUAGGUGGACAGUUAAGUCAGUUGUGAAAGUUUGCGGCUCAACCGUAAAAUUGCAGUUGAUACUGGCUGUCUUGAGUACAGUAGAGGUGGGCGGCAUUAUUGGUGUAGCGGUGAAAUGCUUAGAUAUCACGAAGAACUCCGAUUGCGAAAGCAGCUCACUGGACUGCAACUGACACUGAUGCUCGAAAGUGUGGGUAUCAAACAGGAUUAGAUACUCUGGUAGUCCACACAGUAAGCGAUGAAUACUAGCUGUUUGCGAUAUACAGUAAGCGGCCAAGCGAAAGCAUUAAGUAGUCCACCUGGGGAGUACGCCGGCAACGGUGAAACGCAAAUGAAUUGGCGGGG
rnacentral:rRNA from 1 species